UCCGAUUGCAGGGACAUACAGACAUGCAAAGAUCCGGAUAUUCCUGCACCUAGAAAUCUUGUGUUUUUUGCUUUUUGUAGCUGUUGCUUCUGGGUUUUACAGUGAACAGUGUCUGGCCACCCUCCUGGUUGCUGCUCCUGGGACAAAGGAGGAGGAGCAGGGGAUCAUUUGCCGACCUCAAUAUAUUGCAGCCUCUCUUCUAAAGAAUCUUUGGGAAAGAUUCAAGCCUGGUGAAGACUCAACAAAUCACUAUGAACAUACACACAUCCAAAAGAGAUGAAGCAGAAUGAAACAACCACCAACAACAAAAAGAACUGAAUUCCAUGGACUCAAACUUUUUAGAGCCCUAUGGCUGCAAUUCUCUUACCACUUAUACACAAGCAGCAUUUAUUUCCAAGUAAACACAUAUAGAAAUGUACCAUGAAUAGGUGUGAUUUUCAAGUAUAUUUGUCAAUAUAAACACAUAUUUAUUUUCUGAAUAUUCAGAGUCAGUAUCAUUACACACAGUAGUCUCCCAUCUUGCUCGCAAAUCUAAUUGGCUGGAGUUAGCCAACUGCACAUCUGGUAUUCACAGAUCGUUCUUCGGGUCACAGAACUAUAUUUGUUUAAGAACAAAAUGACACAAUUUGAGUUGAUUUAGCACAGCAGCUGAGAGACUGAAUAACACAUCAGGACUCUCUUAUUUGAGUCUCACCUUUGGAUGACCCCAAAGAAACCACCUUCUCCUGGCCUUAGUUCCCUCAUCUAAUUUACUUUUCAAUUCAAAUGCUCUGAAAAUACCUGAAAGCAACACAGAACUGCUAUGCCUCAUUCUUGUUAAACAUAGAAUAUGUUUUAAUUUUCUCAUGGUAUAACGUAAUCUUUAGUGAACACUGUAAAUAUUUUCAAAUUGUAACAUUGCAUCAGGAUAUAAAGGAACUUGGAAUGUACAAUAUUUAUGGACUCUCUCAUAUUUAUGAGCUGGAUCUCAGUGUGGAUGAGCAACACUGUGAUUAGAACAAAUUGUUUUCAUUACAGCUAAAGCUCUUGGAUCUAUGUCAAGUCAGUUUUCUCCGGACUUUUGAUGAGUUAUAUCACUGGAUUGCUUUUCUUUCAUUCUUUUUUGUCUUUUCUUUCCAGAUUUGCUUUAAUGCUCGGUAACAUUUUAUACAAUUUGCAAUAUUUGGUCACACGUGAAACAAUGCACGCUGUUAUAUGAGACAGUUGUACAUAUAUGUGUCCAGAAGAAGAAUCACGUAUUGCAUGUAAUUACAUAAUUCUUUCUUAUGUAGUACAACUGUUGAGAUCAUUAUGUACUCAAUUGACAGACCCAGUCUUUUGAACUUGAACACACCCAUUUGUAUUUUAGAAUGUUUUUAUGAAUGUUGAUGUAAGUUAAUAAUUUUAAUCUGAUUUAUAGUGUAUUGUAUAAUUUUUACAUGUGUGUUUAUUGUAAGCCGCCCUGAGUCCCCUCUCGGGUGAGAAGGGCGGGAUAUAAAUGUUGUAAUAAUAAUAAUAAUAAUUUGAAGUAAAUAGCCAUCACUUGCCUUUGAGAGGCCAACAAGCAAGUUCUUCAUCUCAUCUUUUCUCCUGACUUCUGCUACUGACUCCCCCACUUUAUUUGAUCUCCUCUGCCUCUGCAACAGUAGCAGCACCACUGUUUUGCUAUCCACUUUUCGGUCCUCUAUUUAAAGCAUCACUGUCAACUUUGUAUAGCAUUUGCUUAUUUAAAGCGUGGGCAGCAGCAUGAACUGAAGCAAGACAGAAUGGAAGGAAGGAGAGUUGGAGAGGGAGUCACAUCUUCAAGGGAGGGAAUGGAGAGUAGGAGAUGCUAUAGAAAGGUGCAAGUUGUAAGGGACAUAGGGUGACAAAAGAUCGAGGAAAGGGGAGAACAGACAAAAAAGGAAGUAAGGUAUUCAAAAGGCAGAGUGCAGGAAGCAAAGGAAGAAAGCAUGGUAAAGCUGUGAAGUGAGGCAAGGGAGUGAAUGGAGAUGUAGAGAUAGAUGUAAGAUGAUGAUGACGAGAACUAUUAUUAUUAGAGGGUGCAAAGAACAAGAG
rnacentral:lncRNA from 11 species